CCUCGCAGCCAGCCGCUGGAGUCUGUGACAGCAAAGCUCUGUCUGGUUUCCUAUCAGCCUCGUGGUCACCCAGAUGCCAGCGUUUGGACUCCCAAGCUGCAGACAUCACUUCCUAUAAUAGCCUCACAGUCAAAAGGGACAGGUUCCACCCAGAAUUGUGGCGUAACUGGCAAGAAUGUCAGCCCUGACUGAGUCAAGGAAACUGACAAGAUGGCACUGCCUGGAACACAGGAGACAGUGCCACAGGCCCUGCCCUCAAGGGGCUCACAGCUCGGUGGACAAGGCAGAAACGUCAACAAGCAGAUGCAGAAUGGGCCAGAAGCAAUCCUACCACAGGAGGGAGGGAAGGGCCUCGUGGAGGAGCUGACCCUGCAGCUGAACUGAAAGACUGAGGCUACGGAGGCCAUAAAGGAGGAAUAAAGGCAAGAAUAUCAUCCUGAAGCAAAGACACCUGGACAUGGGCACCUGGAGGCAGAGUUCAAGGCAAAUCUAAAGCAAAGCAGCCUCAGGCCUGACUCUAAGCCUUUUUCUGUACUGUUAGUAGACUCCUAGAGGCCAAUAGGGAUCUGUUCUUUCUCUGUCUCUUUCUGUUUGUGUGUGUCUCUCUCUCUGUCCUUCC